ACGAACGCUGGCGGCGCGUCUUAAACAUGCCAGUCGAACGGCAGGAAGGGGCUUGCCCCUUCUGAGAGUGGCGGACUGGUGAGUAACACGUGGGUGACAUACCUUUUAGUUGGGGAUAGCUAUUAGAAAUAGUAGGUAAUACCGAAUGUGACCGUACCUGUUAGAGGGGUACGAGGAAAGGAGCUAAGGCUUCGCUAAAAGAAUGGCUCGCGGCCCAUUAUGCUCGUUGGUGAGGUAACGGCCCACCAAGGCGAUGAUGGGUAUCCGGCCUGAGGGGGUGAACGGACACAUUGGGACUGAGAUACGGCCCAGACUUCUACGGGAGGCAGCAGUUAAGAAUAUUCCGCAAUGGACGAAAGUCUGACGGAGCGACGCCGCGUGGAUGAAGAAUGCCGAAAGGUUGUAAAAUCCUUUUAAGCCUGAUGAAUAAGCACAGUAGGGAAUGAUUGUGCGGUGACCGUAGGGCUUGAAUAAGCACCGGCUAAUUACGUG
rnacentral:rRNA from 1 species